CACACAAAAUCUUUGCUGUAGUAUACCUGGCAAAAAUAACUGAUUCUAAUCAUGAGAAAACAUCAGAGGAAAGCAAAUCUAGGGACAUUUAAAAAAAUUGUUGACCAAUAAUUUUCAAAAGUGUCAAAGCCAAGGGUUUGCGAAGGAACAUGGAAGGGCAGAGAGCAUGGGACAAGGAAUAGAUAUACCAGGCUGACUACUCAGCUUUAAAGAACUUAUAGGCUUUGCUCUCCAAGCACAUGGGCUUGGACCUCACCAAAAAAAUCCUCACUCCCCAACUGCCUAGAAAGACUUUGCCCCACCCCUACGGUGCGACCCUGCCUCCUCCACCAGUUAAGCCAGCCACCACAUUUCCCACCACCUGCUCCGCUGGGUGCCCUGGGACCCCCUGGCGCACUAAUGACCUCCAGGCCUUCUGGGCAGACCUUGCCAAAGCGCCUGGGCCCUCCCCAUGGCUCCGCCCACAUCCCAGCUCCUCCUCCCCCGACAUGCACUUCCCGCGAUGCCUCGGUGCAGCCCUCGGCGAAGCCCAGCGCAGCUCAGCUAAGCUCAGCGGGGCGAGCGCAGCGACGGACGGUCGGGUGCAGCUGAUAAAGGCCCCCCUGGCCUGGCCCCUCCAGCCCGCGUGCGUCGCUGGAGGAACCCAAUUCCCUUUCCCGAGACGUUUGACGGCGAUACCGACCGGCUCCCGGAGUUCAUCGUGCAGACGGGCUCCUACAUGUUCGUGGACAAGAACACGUUCUCCAACGACGCCCUGAAGGUGACGUUCCUCAUCACCCGCCUCACGGGGCCCGCCCUGCAGUGGGUGAUCCCCUACAUCAAGAAGGAGAGCCCCCUCCUCAGUGAUUACCGGGGCUUCCUGGCUGAGAUGAAGCGGGUCUUUGAAUGGGAGGAGGACGGAGGACGAGGACUUCUAGGCCGGGAGACCCUCGGGCCUGGGGGCGGGUGUUCUGGGGAGGGUCCGCUGUGCCAGUGGCCACCGCUAGGGUCUCCACAGGCGCCCUCCCUCCGGGCCUCCCUCCCCCUCGAGCCGCCGCGAUGUCCCCUGCGCUCCUGUCCCCUCUCGUGUAGUGCUUGCCUUUGUUCCAGGAAUAGUGCUCCAGGCUCCUGCUGCCGCCCCUGGGCCUCAUUCUGGAGCGGGCUGCCUCCGCCCUCUCGUGCCAGCCCAGCCCCUCCCAUGCACAUUUGGACGCUGUCCUGUGCUCCAGUUGCACAAAGCUGAGCUCCUGUUACACACUGGACAGACCACUGACAGCCGCCACUGCCAACACCCCUCCUCCUCACCAGACUUCCAGACGACUACAUCAUGCUGCCCACAGACCUGCACUGCCCUGCCAUCGCCAUCCAUCGCAUCCCACCGACAGACUGCUGCUUCUAGUGAUCUGUACUCACCUCGGAGCUAUCUGGGCUGGACACAGCCCCUGGACAAUGAUCCAGACAGCUGGCUGCCCCUCAAGGGGCCUGUUACCUUCAGCGAGACCCAUUUCCUCCCCAAUCCCAGAGACUUUUUGUGCUCCUGCCACAUGGCUGCCAGGGCUCAGUUGUACCUGGCAGCCAAAUCGAGUCUCUCAUUUUAUCUUGUGGACCAGUUAGUUUUGCCCAGAAUCCAUUUCUCUUCUGAAUUUGCAGCAUUUUCUCAGGUGCUUUUUGAUCAACAAAAUAACUUGUAUCUUCUGCUCAACUCCUUUAUACUACCUGGAGAAAAGUAUUUUCCAUAUUUUCAAUAAAUGUCAGACACUAUUGAGAAAGAAA